rnacentral:misc_RNA from 1 species
GAUGAAGAACGUAGCGAAAUGCGAUACUUGGUGUGAAUUGCAGAAUCCCGUGAACCAUCGAGUCUUUGAACGCAAGUUGCGCCCGAAGCCACUAGGCCGAGGGUACGCCUGCCUGGGCGUCACACGCCGUUGCCCCCCCAUCUACUCCUUCGGGAUUGCGGGGGGGCGGAUGAUGGCCUCCUGUGCGCCUAGCCGCGCGGUUGGCAUAAAUACCAAGUCCUCGGCGACGCACGCCACGACAAUCGGUGGUUGCGAAACCUCGGUUGCCCGUCGUGUGCGUUCGUCGCGCAUCGAGGGCUCGAAAAAAUGCUCGGCUCCGGCUGGGCUUUCAACGCGACCCCAGGUCAGGCGGGGUUACCCGCUGAAUUUAAGCAUAUCAAUAAGCGGAGGA